rnacentral:lncRNA from 1 species
UUUUAAUGAUUCUUCCAUUAGGCUUAAUAUAAACUUUGGGGUGAAGGUGACCAGCAGUGGGUUUCGGAAGGGUCAUUUUCUCUUAGAGGAGAAAAGUCCCUGUUUCCAGUCAUGAGACACCUGAGAAGUAAGGCAUGACACAGAUGGCAAACAAGAAUUAGAAAGGAGGCGUGCCCAAGACAAGAAGAAGGUAGUAGAUGCUACUUUGUGACGUCAUAUUGCAACUGGAGUAAGAAUAUAAUGUAAGGAGCUUGGGAAUGUACAGUUCUGCCGAUGCGUGGUGAGCAUGAGGGAGUCAUAUUUGGAGAACCAAGGUAACUGGCAUGGUGCAGCUUUUAGCUAGCGGCGGGAAAAACCGAGGGGUGUGUAGAAAAAGGAAGUUAAGAGGAACCGAGGUGGGGAAAACUAAGAACAGAGGAG